UACGUAGGAUCCAAGCGUUAAUCGGAAUUAUUGGGCGUAAAGAAUUUGUAGGCUGUUGUGUAAGUUGAUUGUGAAAGCCCCGGGCUUAACCUGGGAACGGCACUCAAGACUACAUGGCUAGAGUAUAUAAGAGGCAAGUGGAAUUCCUAGUGUAGCAGUGAAAUGCGUAGAUAUUAGGAGGAACACCGGUGGCGAAGGCGACUUGCUGGGAUAAUACUGACGCUGAGAAAUGAAAGCGUGGGGAGCAAACGGG
rnacentral:rRNA from 1 species